rnacentral:rRNA from 1 species
UCCUACGGCCAUAACCACCCUGGCAACGCCCGAUCUCGUUCUGAUCCUCGGAAGCUAAGCAGGGUCGCCCGUUUCGUACUUUGAUGGGAGACCUCCUGUGAAUACCGGGUUGCUGUAGGCU